GGGGUUGUGGCUCAGAGGUAGGGUGCACGCCUAGCACGCUUGAGGCACUGGGUUCGAUACUCAGCACCACA
rnacentral:tRNA from 1 species